rnacentral:misc_RNA from 1 species
CAAUCGUUUUGGGUUCAACGAAACUGAGCAAGUAAGAAUCGCUUUGAUUGAAAGAGGUGAAUGCCCGUUUGAGAAUAAAAUUCGAAAUGCUCAAAAUGGGGGAUUUCGUGCUGCAAUUGUCUAUGAUGAUAGAGAUAAGAGGAAUUUGGUUUACAUGAUGAUGAACCCUGAGGGCAUCAAGGUGCAUGCUGUUUUUGUUUCUAAGCUAGCUGGUGAAAUUUUAAAGGAGCAUGCUCGAGGGAAAGAAUCUGA